rnacentral:rRNA from 1 species
GACGAACGCUGGCGGCGUGCUUAACACAUGCAAGUCGAACGGAAAGGCCCUGCUUUUGUGGGGUGCUCGAGUGGCGAACGGGUGAGUAACACGUGAGUAACCUGCCCUUGACUUUGGGAUAACUUCAGGAAACUGGGGCUAAUACCGGAUAGGAGCUCCUGCUGCAUGGUGGGGGUUGGAAAGUUUCGGCGGUUGGAGAUGGACUCGCGGCUUAUCAGCUUGUUGGUGGGGUAGUGGCUUACCAAGGCUUUGACGGGUAGCCGGCCUGAGAGGGUGACCGGCCACAUUGGGACUGAGAUACGGCCCAGACUCCUACGGGAGGCAGCAGUGGGGAAUAUUGCACAAUGGGCGGAAGCCUGAUGCAGCAACGCCGCGUGCGGGAUGACGGCCUUCGGGUUGUAAACCGCUUUCUCCUGUGACGAAGCGUGAGUGACGGUAAUGGGUAAAGAAGCACCGGCUAACUACGUG